rnacentral:rRNA from 1 species
GACGAACGCUGGCGGCGUGCUUAACACAUGCAAGUCGAACGGGCCCGCCCCUGUUUUUGGGGGUGGGUUGAGUGGCGAACGGGUGAGUAUCACGUGAGUAACCUGCCCCCUGCUCCUGGAUAACUGCUUGAAAGGGCGGCUAAUACGGGGUGUGCCGGCUGCUCCGCAUGGGCCUGGUCGGGAUAGUUUCAUCUUCGGGUGUUUCGGUGGGGGAUGGGCUCGCGGCCUAUCAGCUUGUUGGCGGGGUGAUGGCCCACCAAGGCGGUGACGGGUAGCCGGCCUGAGAGGGUGGGCGGCCAAGCGGGGACUGGGACACGGCGCGGACUACUGCGGGAGGAGGCAGUGGGGGGUGUUGGACGAUGGGCGGAAGGCUGAUGGAGCGGCGGCGCGUGAGGGAUGGAGGCCUUCGGGUUGUGAACCUCUUUCUCCGGUGGUGAAGGCCCUGUCCGUUGCGGCGGGGUUGACGGUAGCCGGGUAUGAAGCGCCGGCUAACUACGUG